rnacentral:rRNA from 1 species
ACCAAGGCGACGAUCCCUAGCUGGUCUGAGAGGAUGACCAGCCACACUGGAACUGAGACACGGUCCAGACUCCUACGGGAGGCAGCAGUGGGGAAUAUUGCACAAUGGGCGCAAGCCUGAUGCAGCCAUGCCGCGUGUAUGAAGAAGGCCUUCGGGUUGUAAAGUACUUUCAGCGGGGAGGAAGGUGUUGUGGUUAAUAACCACAGCAAUUGACGUUACCCGCAGAAGAAGCACCGGCUAACUCCGUGCCAGCAGCCGCGGUAAUACGGAGGGUGCAAGCGUUAAUCGGAAUUACUGGGCGUAAAGCGCACGCAGGCGGUCUGUCAAGUCGGAUGUGAAAUCCCCGGGCUCAACCUGGGAACUGCAUUCGAAACUGGCAGGCUUGAGUCUUGUAGAGGGGGGUGGAAUUCCAGGUGUAGCGGUGAAAUGCGUAGAGAUCUGGAGGAAUACCGGU